GAAAUACUCCCUCCGUCCGAAAAUACUUGUCAUCAAUCAAAAUGAAUAAAAGGGGAUGUAUCUAGACGUAUUUUAGUUCUAGAUACAUCCCUUUUUAUCCAUUUUGAUGACAAGUAUUUUCGGACGGAGGAGUAACUC
rfam:Triticum urartu cultivar G1812 contig1063340, whole genome shotgun sequence.